CCUACGGGUGGCAGCAGUGAGGAAUAUUGGUCAAUGGACGCAACUCUGAACCAGCCAUGCCGCGUGCAGGAAGACGGCUCUAUGAGUUGUAAACUGCUUCUGUACGAGGGUAAACGCAGAUACCUGUCUCUGUCUGCACGUAUCGUACGAAUAAGGAUCGGCUAACUCCGUGCCAGCAGCCGCGGUAAUACGGAUGAUUCAAGCGUUAUCCGGAUUUAUUGGGUUUCAAGGGUCCGUAGUCGGUCGGAUAAGUUCGAGGUGAAAUCCCGUGGCGCAACUUCGGAAUUGCCUCUGAUACUGUUCGGCUGGAGAGUAGGUGCGGUAGGCGGAAUGUAUGGUGUAGCGGUGAAAUGCUUAGAGAUCA
rnacentral:rRNA from 1 species